rnacentral:rRNA from 1 species
UACGUAGGUGGCAAGCGUUAUCCGGAAUUAUUGGGCGUAAAGCGCGCGUAGGCGGCGAGAUUAGUCUGAUGUGAAAGCCCCCGGCUCAACCGGGGAAGGUCAUUGGAAACUGUUUCGCUUGAGUGCAGAAGAGGAGAGUGGAAUUCCAUGUGUAGCGGUGAAAUGCGCAGAGAUAUGGAGGAACACCAGUGGCGAAGGCGGCUCUCUGGUCUGCAACUGACGCUGAUGUGCGAAAGCGUGGGGAUCAAAC